CGGGGCUGGGCGCUGGGUCCCCGGCGCGCGUCGAGGCUGCACCUGGAGCGCGCCGGGCCGCGCCGCCGGCGCGUCCUCUUCGUCCUCGUCCUCGUCCUCCGCGUCCGCGUCCCCUGGGGCGCCGGCCUCGCCGUCCUCGUCGCCCCCAGCGCUCGCGCCCUCGCCGUCCUCGUCCUCGUCCUCCUCCCAGGUCGAGUCGCAGUCCGGGUCGUCCAUGCUCGGGCGGCGGCGGGACCCGCGCUCCGGCGGAAGCGAAAGUGAGCGAAGGAGGAAGCGUGGGGGAGGGCCGGGGGCGGGGCCGGGGCGGGAUCGGGGCGGGGCCGGGGGCGGGGCCGCCGGCGCCGUCCGCCCCGAGAAGGCCCCCCACGCUCCGAGCACAGCCCCUCCCGGAGAACGUCACUCCGGAGGGCGCCCGCCCCCUUCCUCGCUGGGAUUGCCCCCAGGGUGUCCCCCCAGGACCCCCCCUACACGAUAUCCCUUCCCUUUGGGAGAAGACACCUCCCCCAGGAUGCCCUCUGGAGUAUACCGGCUCUACAGGUAUGUCCCUGGGGGAUGCUCGUCCCAGAGAAUCACCCCAGAAUGCCCCUGAGGACAACCUCCCCCCAGAGGAAGACGCCUACCUGCUGGAAACCCCCUCCUCCAGAAUAUCCCUCUUCCCAGAGGAUGUUCUCCUGGAGGAAGUCAACCCACCCCCUGGAGGAUGCCCACAGGAGGAUGUCCGUCCACAGGGCUGACCCCAGGAGCAUAACCCCUGGGAGCUGUCCUCCCCAGAAGGGAGGCCUCCCCCCCAGGAUGCUCCCACGCGGGAUGCCCUCCAGGUGUAGGCUGGGGCUGUGGUCUCACGAGAGGCUCCUUUGGAGAGCAGUCUGCUUCCGCGGUCCCCCAGCCUGUGGGCAGAAGUCAUUCUCGGGUGGUGGGACACGGAUCCUCGUGUCCCUUCACAGACGGUUCACAACUGGGCAGUUUGCUUCCAUAAGGCCAGCAGGAGGGUGUCUUUCAGUGUGCCGGGAGUCGUCUGCACCGUCACCGUGGGCCUGGCCUCUGCCCCUUUGCCACAUCCUAUCAGGGGUAAGUGACCUCCCACAGAUUCCCUUAAUCUGUGCCCUCACAUCUGCUGGUGGCCGCGGGAGUUGCAGCAAAGUUGGAGACCCGCCCCUCAACAUGCAACUUGGGAGUGGCCCGCCCAGGUGGCCCCGCGAGGCCCCGGCCAGGACAUCGGGCAGAUGACACCGGGAGGCCCUGCCGCAGGGCCGGGACGACGGACCCUCCCAGACGCUGCCCGAUUUCCGCUCGACAAGGAAGAGUCACCCCGAACCGCACCUCCGGCUGCUUUUGUGCAGUUUGCCUGGGGCUCCGCAGGGCGCGUUAACCCGGGAGCCCAGAUUUCUGCUGCAGAAGAAGUCUUGUGCUGUUUCCUCCCCUCUGCAGCCUGGGGACGCCCGCUGUGGGCUCAGGGCUCUGGACAGCUGGCCGCCCAGGCUGGGGCGGGGCUGAGCGGGGGGGGCAGGACUGGG
rnacentral:lncRNA from 1 species